rnacentral:rRNA from 1 species
UACGGGGGGGGCAAGCGUUGUUCGGAGUUACUGGGCGUAAAGGGUGUGUAGGCGGUUCUUUAAGUUUGGUGUGAAAUCUCCCGGCUCAACCGGGAGGGUGCGCCGAAUACUGAGGGACUAGAGUGCGGGAGAGGAAAGUGGAAUUCCCGGUGUAGCGGUGGAAUGCGUAGAGAUCGGGAAGAACAUCAGUGGCGAAGGCGGCCUGCUGGGCUGUUGCUGGACGCUGAGGCGCGGACAGCGUGGGGAGCAAACAGGG